rnacentral:misc_RNA from 1 species
GAUGAAGAACGUAGCGAAAUGCGAUAAGUAAUGUGAAUUGCAGAAUUCAGUGAAUCAUCGAAUCUUUGAACGCACCUUGCGCCCUUUGGCCAUUCCGAAGGGCAUGCCUGUUUGAGUAUCAUGAACACCUCAACUCUUCAUGGUUUUCCAUGAUGAGCUUGGACUUUGGGGGUCUUGCUGGCCUGUGGGUCGGCUCCUCUCAAAUGAAUCAGCUUGCCGGUUUUUGGUGGGCAUCACAGGUGUGAUAACUAUCUACGCUUGUGGUUUUCCACCAGGGUAACCUUCAGCAGUGGAGGUUCACUGGAGCUUACAAAUGUCUCUCCUCUGUGAGGACAGCCCUUUGAAUGUUUGAUCUCAAAUUAGGUAGGACUACCCGCUGAACUUAAGCAUAUCAAUAAGCGGAGGA